rnacentral:lncRNA from 1 species
UUGUGUUUGUUAUUGAUAUAGAUUACUUUUACUAAUAUAAGUUACAAUUGUGAUUAUUAAAUAAUAACAUUGUUAUUGUACAACAAUAAUAAGAAAAUGUUGAAAAUAUUCUGUUGUCUUGUUUUACAAAUAAUUUUCAUAACGACUGUCAAUUCCCAAGUGAUACAGCCAAAGGCAAUUCAAAUACAUCAACAUACUCAGCAGUCGUUCAAAACGGUACCACAAUCGAACCAAAUGAAUAUAAAUUUAUCACAAUUCACACACACACCGAUUUCUUCCGAGAAAAUUAAUACAAUCGUUUCAGCCUUGCAAAAACAGCGGGCGCAAACCAAUAUGGCCGCUAAGCGUCACAAAAAUCAUUACUUGGCGGACAUCUUGAAAGAAUCCGCAAUAAAAAGUCUAAUGGCUGCAAGGGAGG